UACGAAGGGUGCAAGCGUUACUCGGAAUUACUGGGCGUAAAGCGUGCGUAGGCGGUUUGUUAAGUCCGCUGUGAAAGCCCUGGGCUCAACCUGGGAAUUGCAGUGGAUACUGGCAAGCUAGAGUGCGGUAGAGGAUGGUGGAAUUCCCGGUGUAGCGGUGAAAUGCGUAGAGAUCGGGAGGAACACCCGUGGCGAAGGCGGCCAACUGGGCCGGACCUGA
rnacentral:rRNA from 1 species